UCAAACUUGGUCAUUUAGAGGAAGUAAAAGUCGUAACAAGGUAACCGUAGGUGAACCUGCGGUUGGAUCAUUACUAAAUGAUAGCCAGUUCUCUCGCUUCGGCGGGAUUGAGCAGGCAUUAACCCUUUGUGAACUGUUACUGUACUUGGGUACACUAGUCUUUCGAGACGACGGUACCCACCAUUAUAAACCCCUUAUUUGUUUAACUGAAUGUGAUCUAAGAGAUAUAACUUUUGACAAUGGAUCUCUUGGCUCUCGCAUCGAUGAAGAACGCAGC
rnacentral:misc_RNA from 1 species